rnacentral:rRNA from 1 species
GAUGAACGCUAGCUACAGGCUUAACACAUGCAAGUCGAGCGAUGAAGUUUCCUUCGGGAAACGGAUUAGCGGCGGACGGGUGAGUAACACGUGGGUAACCUGCCUCAUAGAGUGGAAUAGCCUUCCGAAAGGAAGAUUAAUACCGCAUAAUGUUGAAAGAUGGCAUCAUCAUUCAACCAAAGGAGCAAUCCGCUAUGAGAUGGACCCGCGGCGCAUUAGCUAGUUGGUGGGGUAACGGCCUACCAAGGCGACGAUGCGUAGCCGACCUGAGAGGGUGAUCGGCCACAUUGGGACUGAGACACGGCCCAG